rnacentral:rRNA from 1 species
GUCUUCAGCCAUGCCACCCUGAAUGUACCUGAUCUUGUCUGAUCUCGGAAGCUAAGCCUGGUUAGUACUUGGAUGGGAGACCACCUAGGAAUACUAGGUGCUGUAGGCA